AACCUUACCUGGCAGGGGAGAUACCAUGAUCACAAAGGUGGUUUUCCCAGGGCAAGGCUUAUCCACUGCACUCCAGAUGUGCUGACCCCUGCGAUUUCCCCAAAUGUGGGAAACUCGACUGCAUAAUUUGUGUUAGUGGGGGACUGCGUUCAUGCUUUCCCCGG
rnacentral:snRNA from 1 species